rnacentral:rRNA from 1 species
UUCCGGUUGAUCCCGCCAGAGGUCACUGCUAUUGGGGUUCGACUGAGCCAUGCGAGUCUAUGGACUUCGGUCCAUGGCGGACGGCUCAGUAACACGUGGCUAACCUACCCUCGGGUGGGGGAUAACCUCGGGAAACUGAGGAUAAUACCCCAUAGGAGAAGAGGUCUGGAAUGAUCCUUCUCUGAAAACAUAUGUGCCCGAGGAUGGGGCUGCGUCUGAUUAGGUAGUUGGUGGGGUAACGGCCCACCAAGCCUACGAUCAGUACGGGCCUUGAGAGAGGCAGCCCGGAGAUGGGGACUGAGACACGGCCCCAGGCCCUACGGGGCGCAGCAGGCGCGAAACCUCCGCAAUGCACGGAAGUGUGACGGGGGGACCCCAAGUGCUUACGCACUGCGUAGGCUUUUCUAAAGUGUAAAAAGCUUUAGGAAUAAGGGCUGGGCAAGUCCGGUGCCAGCAGCCGCGGUAACACCGGCGGCCCGAGUGGUGACCACUUUUAUUGGGCCUAAGGCGUCCGUAGCCGGUCCAGUAAGUCCCUGUUUAAAUCCUACGGCUUAACCGUAGGGCUGGCAGGGAUACUGCUGGACUUGGGACCGGGAGAGGGCGAGGGUACUUCAGGGGUAGCGGUGAAAUGUGUCGAUCCCUGGAGGACCACCUAUGGCGAAGGCACUCGCCCGGAACGGGUCCGACGGUGAGGGACGAAGGCCAGGGGAGCAAACCGGAUUAGAUACCCGGGUAGUCCUGGCUGUAAAGGAUGCGGGCUAGGUGUCGGGUGAGCUUCGGGCUCGCCCGGUGCCGUAGGGAAGCUGUUAAGCCCGCCGCCUGGGGAGUACGGCCGCAAGGCUGAAACUUAAAGGAAUUGGCGGGGGGGCACUACAAGGGGUGAAGCGUGCGGUUUAAUUGGAUUCAACGCCGGG